AGUGAACGCUGGCGGCAGGCCUAACACAUGCAAGUCGAACGGCCGCACAGUAAGAUCUUGCCUUUACCGGUGGCGACUGGCGGGUGGGUGAGGCAUACAUCAGCUUCCUCUUUUACUUGGGUGACUUCGGAGGACAACUUAUGCUACUACCUCAUAUGUCCUACGGCUGAAAUCAAUAGUUCAACGGACCUUUGCUGUCUCUUAUAGCCGACGUCGGAUUAGCUAGUUGGCUGGGUAAAGGCCCACCAAGGCAACGAUCCGUAGCUGGUCUGAGAGGAUGAUCGGCCACACUGGAACUGAGACACGGUCCAGACUCCUACGGGAGGCAGCAGUAGGGAAUAUUGGACAAUGGGCGAAAGCCUGACGCAGCAACACCGCGUGAGUGAAGAAGGCCUUCGGAUUGUAAAACCCUUUUAUUAGGGAAGAAAAAAAGCGGAUGUAACCCCCGCUGUUCUGACGGUACCCAAAGAGAAAGCACCGGCUAACUUCGUG
rnacentral:rRNA from 1 species